UCCCUGGUAGUAUAUCGGUUUAGUACACGCGCCUGUCAUCACUAGAAAUUGGACGCGCGAAAGCUGGGUUCGACUCCCAGCCAGGGAG
rnacentral:tRNA from 1 species